UACGUAGGUGGCGAGCGUUUGUCCGGAUUUAUUGGGCGUAAAGCGCGCGCAGGUGGUGUGGUCAGUCUGUCGUGAAAUCUCCCGGCUCAACUGGGAGGGUGCGGUGGAGACGGCCAGACUAGAGGCACUCAGAGGCCAGUGGAAUUCCCGGUGUAGUGGUGAAAUGCGUAGAGAUCGGGGAGGAACACCAGUGGCGAAGGCGGCCGGCUGGGGGGUGACCUGACGCUGAGGCGCGAAAAGGCGUGGGGGAGCGAACCGGGAUUAGAAACCCUAC
rnacentral:rRNA from 1 species